GUGUAUGUAAAUGUGUGUGGGUGGGUGGGGGGUCGUUUUCCUUUUUUCUUUCCUUUCUUCAAAGUAUCUAUUAUUCAACUUUAGAAUUCAGUGCCCUAGUGAGGUCCAAGGUGAAAUGACAUUUCUGAGGCGUCCUUCGCAUCCUGGGUGUUUCUAGAUUAAAAAAAGAAAAAGGAUCCCUGUGCAAGGGCUGCUUCCAAACAAGAUCAAAAUUCCCUGGGGAGACUACUUUAAAAUAGCAGGAGAGAUAGCAUCUGAACGUUCCUAGAAUAAAACAAAGAAUGUAUAAAACAGUUGGGGAUAAAGGCUCUCAGGUAUGAACUCACCUUCCCUUCCCUUGCGGAGCACCGCCUACUAGGUAACAGCUACAAAAGUCCCAGUUGGGCGCAAUAACAUCCCGGCCCUGCGGAGAGAUGCAGAAAACCCACGGCUGCGCAGGCGCAGGUGCGAGUGCGGGCGCCAUGCUGCUCGGGGCGCAUGCGUGCUCGUGCAGCAACUCGGCGCCACUCUGGGUGCAGGCGUGAACCUGAGAGCAAGGUCCACGAAUUCUACAAUGGCCAUUUGGGAAAACGGUUCAUUCAUCAUUUCUCCUCAUUCUCUUGGUCCAUUUUGGCAGGUUCUCAGCUCCCCGGACUCCCCAUAUCCAUGGCGGGUGUACUGCCACUCUUAUCACUGAAUCCAGUGUCAGCCACCAGAACGCAUGGCCAGGAGACUGUUCCAUUGCUUACGACGUAUCUCUCAACACUGGAUUUUUAAAGAGCCUCAGGACAGCACCAGUGUCAGGAGUCAGUGGUAUAGAUACUUGGCAUGUCAUGGAAAGUCACCUGUCUUAGAGCAAGAAGGCUGACAGUGCUGCUGGCCAGGGCAGCCUGUACUGUUGCCAGGCUGGCUGUGGAAGAGUCACUUGGAUCACUUGCUGUGUAUAUUUCCCAUCCCUCACCCUGGGAGAUUCCUACUCCAGCAAAUCUAAGUCCAAGGAAAUGUGCUUGAAGCCAGAGGUCAACAGUCCGUGGUGUUCAAGGAGGAACAGCGGCACGGAUCGUCCCAAGGAAAUCCAUUUUCAGAUUCUCGGCUUCGUGUUUGGUGUCUGACAACAGCCUUCCAGAAGCUGAGGUGAGACUCGUGAGAAGGGAGACACCAAGACGCGGUUUCUCUCAAGUUCAGGUUUGUAGUGUUUCAGUUGGCGCAGUCCAGCGAGCAGAGCUGGCCAAGUGCAGCCGUGAUGAAAUCCCUAAAUACCAGUGCUCUUCAAGGCUGGCCUCUGGCUUCCUCCACCUCAUGCGAAGAUUGAGACCAAGAUUGAGACGCGGUGCCACUGUAGGCGCCUUGGAUAGA